UACCAGUUGUCGUGCCAACGGCAUAGCUGGGUAGCUAUGUGUGGACGGGAUAAGUGCUGAAAGCAUCUAAGCAUGAAGCCCCCCUCAAGAUGAGAUUUCCCAACUUCGGUUAUAAGAUCCCUCAAAGAUGAUGAGGUUAAUAGGUUCGAGGUGGAAGCAUGGUGACAUGUGGAGCUGACGAAUACUAAUCGAUCGAAGACUUAAUCAA
rnacentral:rRNA from 1 species